ACCGGCGGGCUCCACCUGGACGGGCGACGGCCAGCGACGCGGGGACAGACAAGGAUUAUAGUCGCUACCUCGAGUUGUUAGUGACCUCGGGUGUGUGACGCUCCCCAAAGGCCUGAGCCGCGGGCAGCUGCCUCCGGGACAUUCACAGUAGAGAUCAAAGCCCUUCAUAAAGGAAGAAAGGAAGGAAAGAAGGAAAGGAUGGAGAGAACAAAGAGAAAAAAGUUGUGUCAAGAAACACAGAUCUUGGUUUCUUUCUGAUGAGAUGGACAACAUAUGAGAAGAUAAGUCAAUGCGGUCAUAUAAGAUGAUAAUCUGGCACCCUGGCAAAUGUGUUUUCUUUUUCAUUAAAGCACUG